rnacentral:snoRNA from 14 species
CUCGAGGAUGAUCCCACCCUUGGCUGAAGUGUGAUGAUGUCUCGUGGUUCUGAGA